GUAUUCUAUGAAAGGAGAGGAGGUUAGCAAGCACUUUGACAAGGAUGGAAGAGGCCCUUGGGCCUGACAGCACACAACAUAGUUAAGGCAUUGCCACCUACUUCAUGGCAUCUAACCAUUGUUUUAU